rnacentral:rRNA from 1 species
GCUUGUCUCAAAGAUUAAGCCAUGCAUGUGUUAGUAUAAACGCCUUUAUACUGUGAAACUGCGAACGGCUCAUUAUAUCAGUUAUAGUUUAUUUGAUACUUUUCGACUAUUGGAUAACCGUAGUAAUUCUAGAGCUAAUACAUGCACCCGUGCCCGACUUUGUGGAAGGGUUGUGUUUAUUAGUUACAGAACCAGCCCAGGCUCUGCCUGGUCUUGUGGUGAUUCAUAAUAACCGAACGAAUCGUAUGGCAUCAGCUGGCGAUGAAUCAUUCAAGUUUCUGACCUAUCAGCUUCCGACGGUAGGGUAUUGGCCUACCGUGGCAAUGACGGGUAACGGAGAAUUAGGGUUCGAUUCCGGAGAGGGAGCCUGAGAAACGGCUACCACAUCUAAGGAAGGCAGCAGG